CACACUAAUCGCCGCCCCUUGCGCGCUAAUCGCUCCGGAGAACCACCAUGGCAUCACGCACGCACUUUGCCCAGCUCCCAGUUCAUCUCGCUCCAAGGAACCGCCGCCCCUGCGACCUCGCCUUCGCCGGCUGCUUGUCGCCCUGCCUCGGCACGCGUUUGACCCUGCCCGGCUCUCUGUGCCGUGCAACCGCUCGCUGCGCUCCCGCUAGCCUGCGACUCCCUACGCGCCGCCCGGCCCUGCUUCCUUUCCCCACCGGGACUCCCUCCGGCCGCUGCCCUUCAUGUGCCCGGUGCCUCCCUCCGGUCGCCGUCCUCUGUGCCGGCGACGUGGUUCGUCGCGGAUGAAAAAGCAGGGCAGUUCCUCAUGGCGGCAGCGUGGUUCCCCCUCGCCGUGGUUCCUGUGGCACAACGUCGUAUCCUUCUCUAGCGUCAUUGGCCUCUUGACUGAUAUGAGAUCGUUGCCCUCUUGGUGUUGAUGCACUGCAGCUGAUUUUGCGAAGGGAGAAGACAGGAAGGGGCAUCAGGAUGAGGGCAAGUUUCUGAUCUGUUUGAGGGAAUGGAAAAUAGAUACAACAAAGUGGGAGAAUUUUGUCAGAAGAAAUCCUUCCUUGAUGAAGAUUUUCAGACCUCAAGUAAGAAUGUUCUGCAUAGAAAUGCAGAUUUAUUUUAUAGCGACUAUAGUGAAUAUGGACAUAUGGUAGAAAAUAAAAAUUCUGGAGCAUUGUUUUCUGUGCUCGGUGUUUUAUGUCUAACUAAGAACUUUGCUCUCAUGAAAAAAUUAAUUGUUUCAAUGCUCUGCAAAUCUUAAAUGCCUCCCUUGAUCUACUGUGGUCGGGAUGGAAUUAGGCAUCUAAAAGCACUUGUGAGGGAAAUAUCCAGUGGAAUUAGGCAUCUAGAAGCUACUAUAUCAGUGUGUCUGUGCAAUAGAUUUUCUAUAAUUUCAACGUGUGUAUAGAUAAUAUUUUUUCAGAGCCCCACUCUUGAAGUUUAUUAACUGCUGAUGUCCUGGUUGUGUAAGCACUGAAAAUUUGGAUUUUGUAAGCAAAUGCAUAUGAAUGUCAGCAAAACAUUGCUUCUCAGCCUAUUUAACAAUUCAUGUUUUACUUUUA